GGAAACGUGUGUGUGUGUGUGUGUGUGUGUGUGUGUGUGUGUGGUCACUGUAGUGUAACAGAGGUUUUUGUAUGACGGCUUCAUUAGAAUGUAUCACUGUGGUUCCCUUUCGGUGGAGGAACCAAACUCAUCAUCACCGGUCCCGCGGUGAAGCCCUCCGUGUCUCUGCUCCCUCCCUCCUCUCUGCAGCUGUCUGAGGGAUCGGCCUCGCUGCUCUGCCUGCUGUCUGCCUACUCUCCACAGGGGGCGCUGGUGAGCUGGACAGUGGACGGCUCCCAGGUGAAGGACGGGGUUCUGACCAGCGCAGAAGAACAGAAGAAGGACGGUUACACACGCAGCAGCACCCUGACCCUCAGCAAAGCACUCUGGGAAAAGGGGGAGGAGUUUGUCUGUACGGUCUCCCAUGCCGGCGUCAAUCAUCCGGUCACGUUCAGAAAGAGCCAGUGUGAAGCCUAACAGCUCCAAGAUACAAUUUAACACUGAGCUGCUUACACAUCCAUCUACAAUAGAGUUUCAGUUCUACACAAUGCUGACAUUUCUGUCUUUACUCUCUUCACUGUCCUGUUGCUCUUCCUGUAGUUUUGCUCUGCUGAAAUAAAGCUUCAUUUUGGA